UACGUAGGUGGCAAGCGUUGUUCGGAAUUAUUGGGCGUAAAGGGCGCGUAGGCGGUUUGUUAAGUCGGUCGUGAAAGCCCGGGGCUCAACCCCGGAGGGUCGACCGAUACUGGCAGACUAGAGUACAGAAGAGGUAACUGGAAUUCCCGGUGUAGCGGUGAAAUGCGUAGAUAUCGGGGAGGAACACCAGAGGCGAAGGCGGGUUACUGGGCUGAUACUGACGCUGAGGCACGAAAGCGUGGGGAGCAAACAGG
rnacentral:rRNA from 1 species